CCGAAAGAGCACCACCCAUAACCACCUGAUUGCAAGCCUGAACGAUAGAACCUCUCACUCUCAGGAAUCUCAGGUAGGACCCGAGGUAUGCCCUGACCCUGACCAUACAACCCGCCCUCUACUAGGGCACCCCACAUAAUUUUGGAAAGGAACAGAGAAAGGAUCCCACACUAGGUGGGUAUAGAAGGGAGGCAGACACACCGCAGGGAGACCUAGAACAUAAAUGGUUUCAAUGGGAAAAAGGUCUAUUGUACCGGGUGACUAGAGGAACCGGGAUAGGGAUUGCCCAAAUACCAAAAAGGCAGCUAAUUGUACCAUGAAGAUCAGCCACGAUAUCCC